CAUUGGCCCUGGUGGCCUUCCAUAACAUUCACACGUAAAGUAAAAGUAAAAACGCAAUAGAAAACUUCUUUAUUAGAGUUCAUGUCGCGUAGGAGGAAAAUAAUCCGUGCUGCAGCCAAAAAGUAGCUUCGACCGAGGUUUUAUUAUGGACCGUCUACCUCUGCGGACUGGUGGAGGCCAGGAUACAAUUAACAUGAGAUCAGUGGAAAGCAAUGUCUGUGCCGAGAAAGGAGCUGCAUUGAGCAGAACAAACAUUAACACACUGGAGCUGGGUUGUGGUGGAUCCAGAGCCUAUCCCAGGAACACUGGGUGCAGGGAGUUAUUGGGUGGCGUUAUUCCUGUUUGCUGGAUCAUAAAUGAAGUGCAUAGACAAUCCACUCACCAGCAUGUUGUUGAGAAGUUGGAGGAAACUGGAGAAACAGGAGGAAACCCACAUGGACAGAGGGACAACAGACAGUAACCAAAUCUCAAGAUUGAGCUAGGACCCUGGAACUGUGAGGUGGCAACAAAAAUAUAAUACAAAAUAUCCGAUAUAUUCCACAGUUCUCAAAAACUGUAAUGUGAUUACAUUCUCUUCAGAUAUAAUUCAUUAGUUUAUUUGUGCUGACAUACAGAGUGACAGUAAUUAAGUAGGCUGUUACCCCUGUUACCCCUACUCAUGGACUUAAAUAUAGUACACUUAAGACAUUUUUUGUGAAAUCAGUGCUUUGCCCAUACAUGCCCUCUGUCAAUGGCAAGUCAGCAGCAUCCACCAUCACUGUGUUCUGUCAGCACUUGUGGUGUUUCAAGAGACCAUAUGCUUAGUUGACUUUGGAACACGGACAAGACCAAACACACAAUCAUCACUACAAUGCAUUUCCCUUAGCCAGACAUUCCAGUAAAGUUUCUUGUACAUUAAAUUUUCGUUUUUGCAGUUUUCUCAUUUCUUGUUCUUUGUAUUUAAUCACUUGUCU
ensembl:lncRNA